AUGGAUGCUAUUGGGGUUAUUAGUGGCUUCAAAGAGUGUGACUAUCUUUUUCAGUGGGCUAGAUCUACUAUUUUAUCACAAUUUAGCGGUACAAACGAGCAAGGGCUCGAUGAGGAAUUAUUUCGAUUGAAGAAUGGCCUACAAUGCCUUAGGGAUACUCUUCCCGCAAUGUAUGAACUCAUUGAUCGAGCAGAGUGGAGGAGCCACAAGCAUUAUGUGGCAGAGCUCCUUCCAAAACUCAGGGAUGGAGUGUAUGAUGCAGAAGACCUUCUUGAUGAGUUCAGAUGGUACAUGCUGAAGGUGAAAGUGGAUGGGAAUGGAAGCCAAUCUUCAUUCAUGGACUUCUUCAAUAGUGUCAUUCGUGGAAGCUUUAACAAAGUGGAUAGUAUUCAGAAAAGGCUAGAUAAUAUUUCCAUGCACCUCCGUGGUAUGGGGUUACAUGAUAUCACAAUACGGUUUGACAAAUCAGUCAGGCCAGAGACUAGCUCUUUCCCAGAUGAAACAAAAAUAUUUGGUCGUGACAUGGAGCUAAAGCAGAUCAUUGAGUUGCUUUGUGCACCGAGAAAUAGUAGCGAUGCUCAUCCCAAACGCCAGAAAGGAAAUAGUGCACUUGAUGUAUCAACUAGCACAUCAGCAAGAAAUCAAGUUGGUAAUGAAUCAAGAAUAUCAGAUCUUCUUGUUCUACCAAUAGUUGGAAUUGGGGGUGUUGGAAAGACCACUCUGGCUCAACAUAUAUGCAGUCAUGAAGAAGUGGAGUCCCAUUUUGACAAAAUAAUUUGGGUUUGCGUGUCAGAUGACUUUGAUGUGAAGAGGUUAACUAAAGAGGUUAUACAGUCUUGUUCUGAAAAAUAUGCAACUACAGAAAAUUUGAAUUUGCUUCAGAAGAUUUUUUCUGAUAUUGCGAGAACUGAAAAGCUAUUGAUUGUUCUGGAUGAUAUGUGGGACGAUGUUUUGAAGGAAAAUAGGAAGCACUGGAACAGGUUUUGUGCACCUUUAAGGAAUGUACUGCCGGGAAGUAUGAUGUUGAUUACUACUAGAAGCCCACAGGUUGCUGACAAAGUGGGCACGAUGGACCCCAUUACAUUGGAAGGUUUAGAGGAUGAUGCGUUCUGGAAAUUUUUCGAAGUAUGUGUUUUUGAGUCUGGGAGUUCCAGUAAUAAUGAUCCUGAGUUAGAGCACAUUGGUAGAAGGAUAGUUCCUAAGUUACAGGGUUCUCCUUUAGCUGCCAAAACUCUUGGGCGAAUAUUAAGAAUGAACCUUCAAGUAGCACAUUGGAAUGAUGUACUAGAGAGUGAACUGUGGAAGUUGAGCCAGGAGGAGACUGAAAUUUUGCCAGCUCUUCGGUUGAGCUACAUGUACUUACCAUUCCGUCUGAAGAGAUGCUUCUCAUUUUGUGCAGUGUACCCCAAAGAUUACCAAUUUCAAAAGGAUCGUUUAGCUGAAAUUUGGGUGGCAGAAGGCUUUGUUGAACCUCAAGGUGAUACUCCACUUCAAGAUAUUGGCUGUGAAUACUUCAAUGACCUUUUAAAUAGGUCCUUUUUUCAAGAAGUACAUGGCAAAUACUUAAUCCAUGACUUGCUGCAUGACAUGGCACAGAAAGUUUCAGAGCAUGAGUGCUUCAUCGUGGAAAGAGAGAGUGACUUCAAUGAUAUUCCUCCUAAUGUUCGCCAUUUGUCAAUCCUCUUUGGCGGAGACAUCGACAACGCCAGUUUGUUGAGUCUAUACCACUUAACAAAGCUACGUACCCUUCUUUGCGAAAAGCCUUUAGCGAACAAAAAAACUCCAGCUAGUUUAGGAAAAAUGGUGAGUAAACUUCUGUAUCUGCGUGUGAUUGUUUGUGACUCAACUAAUGAGUUACCAGCUAUUGGCAACUUGAAGCAUCUUCGGUACCUUCAAAUCUUGAGCGCUUCACCUUUCAAGAGUCUCCCCGCCGAGUUCUGUCGGCUCUAUAACCUGCAGAUUCUGCGUCUAGAGAAAUGCAUUCUAGAAAGCUUGCCAGAUGACUUCAGUAGUCUGAUAUGCUUACAGAGAUUGGAAUCACAUGGAUUUCAAUAUAAUAUUGACAAGCAAAGCAAGGAGCAUGCAGCAGAAGCCCAACUACAGAAUAAGAAGUAUCUUGAGAUGUUGAACCUGUCAUUGUAUGGGUUGAGGUCUCCAGAGGACAAUGACAUAGAAGUGCUUCGAGUUUUACAACCUCCUACCUGCCUCAAGAUUCUGCUCCUCAAUGGUUAUCCAGGUGUGUCACUUCCAAGGUGGUCAGCAUCGAGUCUCUCAGAUCAUAUAAACCCAAGUGAGAUACUUGAGGUGUUAGUUGUCCUGACAGAGCUGGUCAUUGAUAAGUGCCAAAAUUUAUCAUGCCUCGAACAUAUUCUACAUCCAGAUUGUGUACCCGCCAUUAGGGAAAUCACAAUUAAAGAUUGUAAGAACUUAGUUUCAGUACCAGCUGAAAGAUUUGGGGAUCUCCGUUGCCUGGAAGAAUUCACGGUGCAAGGGUGCCCAAAUAUAUCUUUCCGAAGUUUGGUUGCACCUUCUCUCAAGAGGCUUGUGCUGGGUAGUUGUGGCAAUUUCGCAGACAAUAUCGACUGCUGCUCCCUCACUUACUUUUUCUUGUCAAGCUACCAUCUCACAUCCAUCCAACUACAAAUGUGGAAUCUUCCAGCACUAGAGGAGUUGGAGAUUUCAAAUUGUGAAUCUCUUACAUCUAUCAUUGGACAAUCAGGACAGGUCUUGAAAAACACUGGCGGCUCUAGAGCAUUCCCAUCUCUUGCUUCCCUAUCAAUUGUUUGGUGUCAUGAGCUGUCAACUAUGGACGAUCUCCUAGCAGAAGAUUAUAUACCUGCCAUUGAGAAAAUUUGUAUUAAAUUUUGUAUCAGUUUAAAGUCCCUGCCCGGUGAAAGGUUUUGGAAAUUUUCUUCUCUGAGGGAUUUGGAAAUCUCUGGUUGUGGUAGACUCAGCUGGAAGAACGGAUUCUUUUUACCAUCUUCCCUCCAAAGGCUCGCCUUAGCUCAAUGUGGGGAUAUCUCUGCAUGGGUUCCCGACUGCCUAGAAAACCUUACGUCCCUUGUUACAUUGGAGAUUUCUCUAUGUCGGCAUAUAACAUCCAUUCCGGGCAGCCUUUGGAGCACUAACCUCACAUCACUUGAGAAUUUAUCGAUUGAGAACUGUGCAGAUAUCGUUUCAAUUGGUGGAGAAAAUGCAAUUUCAGAAAUACAAAAUGUAUGGAUUACAGGCUGUCCUGGGAUGGAGGAACUAAAGCGGCCCAUGGUAAGAGGCAAACGGAUACCAUGA
rnacentral:rRNA from 1 species